GCCCGGACUGAGCUCAGUCGGUAGAGCAGGGGAUUGAAAAUCCCCGUGUCCUUGGUUCGAUUCCGAGUCCGGGCACCA
rnacentral:tRNA from 1 species